rnacentral:misc_RNA from 1 species
GAUGAAGAACGUAGCGAAAUGCGAUAACUAAUGUGAAUUGCAGAAUUCCGUGAAUCAUCAAGUCUUUGAACGCACAUUGCGCCCCCUGGUAUUCCGGGGGGCAUGCCUGUCCGAGCGUCAUUACAACCCUCAAGCCCGGCUUGUGUAAUGGGCGGCCGUCUCUCCCCCCGGGGGGAGACGCCCCCGAAACUCAGUGGGGAUGUCGCGAUACCGAAGCCUCAGCUAAUGGGUAAACCACAGCUGCAAUGGCCGCGGCCGGCGUCCGCCUUCCACGGUCCGUCCGCCUAGCGCGGGCGGCCUUCUCAAGGUUGACCUCGGAUCAGGUAGGGAUACCCGCUGAACUUAAGCAUAUCAAUAAGCGGAGGA